rnacentral:rRNA from 1 species
GACGAACGCUGGCGGCGUGCUUAACACAUGCAAGUCGAACGGAAAGGCCCUGCUUUUGUGGGGUGCUCGAGUGGCGAACGGGUGAGUAGCACGUGAGUAACCUGCCCUUGACUUUGGGAUAACUUCAGGAAACUGGGGCUAAUACCGGAUAGGAGCUCCUGCUGCAUGGUGGGGGUUGGAAAGUUUCGGCGGUUGGGGAUGGACUCGCGGCUUAUCAGCUUGUUGGUGGGGUAGUGGCUUACCAAGGCUUUGACGGGUAGCCGGCCUGAGAGGGUGACCGGCCACAUUGGGACUGAGAUACGGCCCAGACUCCUACGGGAGGCAGCAGUGGGGAAUAUUGCACAAUGGGCGGAAGCCUGAUGCAGCAACGCCGCGCGCGGGAUGACGGCCUUCGGGUUGUAAACCGCUUUCGCCUGUGACGAAGCGUGAGUGACGGUAAUGGGUAAAGAAGCACCGGCUAACUACGUG